GAGGGAGACACUAUUGGUUAUCACACCAAAGCUGUGGAAGGAGGACCAGCACUGGUGCGUCUGUGGGUUGCUCACAGGCUCUGCUUUCUCCUUGCUGGCUCAGUUCCUCCCUCCACGUGUACGAUUUGUCUUACAAGUGCCCCCUUGCUCCCAGACCGCGCGGUAUUCAGGUUAAAAGCAUCUCCUUGGACUCGGGGGAUGGCUCGCUCUGCUGCAGCAGAGGGUGAAGGGGCUGCAAAUGGACUCUGACAGCCUCAGUGCCGUGCUCUGGGUCAGGCAUCGAUUUUAAAGAUGGGAUGAGAAGAAAAAAAGCCGGCGCUCCGUAGCCGUUGGCAAACCCGUGCUGUCUGCAGCCCAUCCGGACAUUUUAACUGUGAGGGCUUUUAAUUCCCCACCAAACCUUUUGAGGUACAAGUCAGUCUUUGCAGAGUAUCUUUGACAUUUCGGGGUUUCUCUCGGGAGGGGGGGAAUCUGGGCUUGGUUUUGUACACGUUUAAUAUCCAGCGUCUGGUCCUGCCCAGGCUACGCUCCAGGGAGCUUCUCCCUGCUCCAGGUAGCGCAGCCACGGUUGUACAGUGCUCACUGCAGUUUGUUUAAAUGCAUUUAGACUUCAGAUCCUUUGCAUUUCUUGUGAAUGUACUUAUCUUUCCAGCCUUCCUUUAUUUCAUUUUUUUUUUUCCCUUUUUAUUUAUUUUUUCCUUCCCGUGUAGCUUGGAAGCUAAGCAAAUGAUUGACUUUCUCUAACCCUCCCCUGGUGAACUAUUGUACAGGACUUUGGGCAUCAAGGAAAAAAAUAAAAGCAAAAAA